ensembl:lncRNA
UUUCAAACUAUAAAACGGGUUAAUUUUGACCUGCAGGACGACACGAGGGUCAAAGGAGGAAGGAGGCAGGAGCCGCCUGGUAGGAGCUGGUGAUGGGAAAUGCAGGUAGAUUUAGGAGGAAAACUUGUUGUUCCCUAAGAAAUAGUGUGAACUAAUCUGAGGCCAGACAUUGUUUUGUGGUCUGUGAAGGAAAAGACUGUAUUUCAUUGAGUUAACAAUCAGUGGAGGAAGAAGGCUGGAUAUGCAGACUGAAAGACAGACGCUGAGCAGAGGGGAUGGAGAACCAGAGUUGCUCCAGUAGAAGUGGGAUGUAGAGGCUUUGAUGAGGGUCAGAGUCUGAGGGAGACGGUGAGGGACAUGGCAGAUAAAGCUGCUAGAUCUAGUCAUUGGAGAUGGAUUAGGAGAAAUUAUAAUAGUUGGGGGUGAAAUAGAGGCGGUGAUGGAGUAGACCUCUCCUUCAAUCUGCUGUCCUCGCCUUCUUUUCCCUCCUCCAAUGGCAGAGAUCCAGGAAGAGGAAGUGUAGAUCAGGUGGGGCCGUGGCCUGUUAGAGUCUCUCUGGGACCAUGCGGCCAUCUCAGGCGAACUCCAGCUCCAGCGCUGCCUCAGCAGGUGAGAUUCAGAGAGGAAACGCAGACGGCAGUGAUGUUGGUGAAAACUCGUCAGUUUGUUACAGACAUGAAGGUGAAGAAUUGGUCAGCAUGGAGCAAUGUCAGCAGGUUUCAGACGAUCUGCGACAGGCGGCGAGCCGAGCCGUUCACCUUUACCUGCAGCUCCAGGAUGUAAAGCAGCAGCCGGAGAUGAUGUCCGUCCUGCAGGAGGCCUUUCAGUGGGUUUCCUCUCGGCUGCAGGAGGCUCAGCGGAGCGGCGCCCCCUGAUGGUCAGCUGGAGAACCACGUCUACUGAGUUAUAAAUACCAGAAACACAUUCAGCAGUUCUGCUGCUGUCUAGACAUUCAGCUCUGUCCCAGAAACACUCCACUGAGGAAACGGGUAGAUUCACCUGUAAGCUCCGCCCCCUUCAUCCAGGUGACUCUGAGACAUUUAAUGAUGAAGCACCGGGACGGAUGUCUGGAUCCCAGCAGGACAGAUUAUUGAAACUGAAAACAUCCGAAUUCAACCCACAGCUGUAGUUUUAAUGUUUAUAAUAAAUAUUGCGUUUCAAGAAAUCGUGAAGUUUUUCAUGUGGAUCAGAAGAAAGAAGUUACUGCAAAGUACGGCAGCGGGUACUGCAAAGUACGGCAGCGGGUACUCCAAAG